CGUCCGUGCCGGCAUGGACGAGUUUGGCUUCGUGUCUCCCGGUGAAUCGCUUCUUGACGAUUAAAAGCCAUGUGGGCUUGUGUUUGUAGUACCGGUGCUAUGUUGUGGGUUUUCUCUGCGUUUCUGUUGGCGUGUUUCGCCUUCAGUCGAGUGAAAAAUAGCGGCUACAUUACACAACUGUGACUACGGUAGCUGUCGUACCCGCUGGUCUGUACUCUGACCUUCACUGCGCUGAAAACUGCAUUGCUGUAUCCUGGAGCUGUGGGCCAAAGCAGGAGGCAGACGGACUUUGGUGGUGGAACCCUUUUUACUGGCCCUGCAGUCUAGAGCACGUUGGGUGUUAUUGAGGUGUGCGGUGUGAUCACGUGUGGUGUGUAGUGUAGGAGAUUCCUUUACUUCCAUAUUACCCGCUGCCGUGGUAAGCCCUCAGCCCUGUUCCUUCCUGCCCUGGUUGUCUUUAUAAAUUAUAAAUGGACCCAUAGAGUAUUAAAUGUGAUGUGGCUAAUCAUUUUACACUAAUUGUGUCCGUCUUAGAACGGGGCUUGUCCCAUGUGGAAACUUUUGUAAACAAUUGUUAAUAAAAUUAACUAAGUGUUGGAA